rnacentral:rRNA from 1 species
GACGAACGCUGGCGGCGUGCCUAAUACAUGCAAGUCGAGCGGACCAAAGGGAGCUUGCUCCUGGAGGUCAGCGGCGAACGGGUGAGUAACACGUGGGCAACCUGCCUGUAAGACUGGGAUAACAUCGAGAAAUCGGUGCUAAUACCGGAUAAUAAAAAGAACUGCAUGGUUCUUUUUGAAAGAUGGUUUCGGCUAUCACUUACAGAUGGGCCCGCGGCGCAUUAGCUAGUUGGUGAGGUAACGGCUCACCAAGGCAACGAUGCGUAGCCGACCUGAGAGGGUGAUCGGCCACACUGGGACUGAGACACGGCCCAGACUCCUACGGGAGGCAGCAGUAGGGAAUCUUCCGCAAUGGACGAAAGUCUGACGGAGCAACGCCGCGUGAGUGAUGAA